CAACAGGGAUUGCCCUAGUAACGGCGAGUGAAGCGGCAAUAGCUCAAAUUUGAAAGCUGGCCUUCUGGUCCGCAUUGUAAUUUGUAGAGGAUGCUUUUAGGCAGCCGCCGGUCUAAGUUCCUUGGAACAGGACGUCAUAGAGGGUGAGAAUCCCGUAUGUGACCGGCUCUGGCACCUUAUGUAAAGCUCCUUCGACGAGUCGAGUUGUUUGGGAAUGCAGCUCUAAAUGGGAGGUAAAUUUCUUCUAAAGCUAAAUACCGGCGAGAGACCGAUAGCGCACAAGUAGAGUGAUCGAAAGAUGAAAAGCACUUUGGAAAGAGAGUUAAAAAGCACGUGAAAUUGUUGAAAGGGAAGCGCUUGCAAUCAGACUUGGACUUGGCUGUUCAACCGGUCUUCUGACCGGCCCACUCAGUCUUGUCCAGGCCAGCAUCAGUUUCGGCGGCCGGAUAAAGGCCUUGGGAAUGUAGCUGUCCCUUCGGGGACAGUGUUAUAGCCCAGGGUGUAAUACGGCCAGCCGGGACUGAGGUCCGCGCUUCGGCUAGGAUGCUGGCGUAAUGGUUGUAAGCGGCCCGUCUUGAAACACGGACCAAGGAGUCUAACAUCUAUGCGAGUGUUAGGGUGUCAAACCCUUACGCGUAAUGAAAGUGAACGGAGGUGGGAACCCGCAAGGGUGCACCAUCGACCGAUCCUGAUGUCUUCGGAUGGAUUUGAGUAAGAGCAUAGCUGUUGGGACCCGAAAGAUGGUGAACUAUGCCUGAAUAGGGUGAAGCCAGAGGAAACUCUGGUGGAGGCUCGCAGCGGUUCUGACGUGCAAAUCGAUCGUCAAAUUUGGGUAUAGGGGCGAAAGACUAAUCGAACCAUCUAGUAGCUGGUUCCUGC
rnacentral:rRNA from 1 species